AAAGGGGCACCAUGAGAACAUGAACUUAGCUUGAAAAUGUUACCAAAAAUGGAGUCAUGAUUACUCAUAAUGGAGCAACUUAGCUAGGCAUGUGGAAAAUGCAUGUGAUCAAGACCGAAGGAAGAUGCUGAGACAGCUGGAUUUUAGAUGCCUUCAGAGACCCAAGCAAUGGAAUGCAUGUUGGUCAUCUCCCAGGACUUGAUGUCCUGGGGAAAUCUUCAUUAUCACAUCAAUGUUCAACUGCCUUUUGGGCUAUGUGACCAUCAUGAGGAGUAUGGCAUGUGUUCCAGGCCAGGAAUCUGGCAAAGAGCAGGGAGUUGCCUACAUUCUCAGGUGUGUACUCACUGAGUUUCUCAGAUCUCAGACCUACUAGAGCUUACCAAGCUUCUUGACAUGGUUAACCAUCCUACAGUUACAACCACUGAUUUUCUCUUAAUUGAUGUUAAA